UCCCUCUAGCGCGCCGCGCGCACCGCCGUCCUGCCCCUUCCCCUCAUCCGCGCCUCCCUCCCAGCCCCGCGGCGCAUGCCCCAUCCGCGCGCGCCUGCCCUUGAGAGCGCCGCCGCUGGGUCUUGACCGGCACCGCCGCCGAGUCCAACGCCGACCACCUCACUCACGGCGCCGCCGCCUCCCAGUCGCGGAUCCGGCCCCAAGACGCCGUCGCCGCCUCCUCAUCCACGCGAAUCCCCUUUGAUUUGUCCUCCAUGGAGAGGGGCGGCUUCAAUUUCUUCUUCCCGGAAGCCAUGGCAUCAGCCGGCGUCAAUCCUCUGGACCUCAACUCACAGGCACAGCAGGAAGACGAGGGGUUCCUGAGUAUGGCGCCUACCUCCGAGGCGACAACGACGAAGCACCUGGCCGCAGGCGUGUGUCCGGUCCCCAUCCCCCUCGCGCACCGCGCUCUCUGCGUGUGCCGAACCAGCGUGCGGGGCGAGGGGCCGGCUGGGCGGCUCGAGGUCUACUGAGCGCCCGCCACCUGAACUUCGGCGCUUCAUCCUCGCCGGCAGGCGGCCGCGGUGGACAAGACGACGUCCUGCCGUCAUGGCCUGCCCACGGCGGAGCUAACAACGGCCUUUUCAUCGGCCGCAGAGGAGCACCAGUCCCAGGGAGAAGAGCAGGAGCGGCGCAGAUGGCUGAGCUCCCAUGCCCAUCUUGCUCUGCUUCAGAACAGGCACAAAGCUGGAGCUGGGACCUGGGAGCGUGCCUAGGCCAAGAGUCAGAUCAGACUUCUGCACAGCAGGCCGGCCACACCAAGGGCUACGGCGGGUCACAUUUCGUUAGAUCCGGUUGUAGGGGAUUUCAAUGAUUAGAAAAGUGCAUUAAAGCUAAAAUAGCAUAAGGAUCCAAACAAGACUAAGAGAGACCAAAGGACAUGCCCCUUCGGUGUAGCCCCUUCGGGAGUUGGCCUUUUCAUGGAUCGACCCUUUCGUGAUGGUCCUUUCAUGAAAGAUAACCGUCUAAUGAAUAAUCUUAUUAACUAUUAUAGAAAUUGAUCAUUAAUUCUAAUUUCUUCAUAACACUCCCCCUUGAUCAA